UGCGCAAUAGGGGAGCGGGGGUGGGACGGGAGGAACGUCUCAUAGUUCUGGAAAAACUUCGGUUUCAGAUGAGGCAAGAACCCGGGCGAAGGAUUGCGUUUUCGUAUCUUUGCUGCCGUCUAGCGGUCGUCCGGAUACUUUUCUAAAUUUCACUCAACUUCUUCCCACGCUGAUGCCCUCGAGAUGCGUAAAAAGUACCACCGCCCGCAUUCCCAGCUACCCGACCAAGGUUUUUUGCUUUACAAAGUUGUCUUUCCAUCGCAUUCUUAAAAUGCCCAUUUUUGAACGCCCCAAACCCAGACGUUACUCAAAUAAUAACAAGGAUUUCACUCUUUGCUGCCAUGGCUUGGGGUCUGACUUUCGUCCGGUUUAAUAUUUGUUGUCACAGAGGACAAAAGAUAUAGAUCUGAUGGACUUUAGCUUCAGAGGAAUAAAAACAAGCUCAUGAAAUAUCAAAACUUCCCUGGGAGACUUAUUUUUUUCUGCAUACUUCGUCCACUGUCUAAGAAAAGAAUCUGCAGUUGGUAAAAUGUCAUCCUUACUACCUCCUGCUGUUUUCAGUAUAUAAAACACAUAGAUUGUGAAGAGUUCGGCUGUCUUUCUCUUUUUGUUCAACGUUAUUUUGUCUGAGAGAGUGAAUACUGCGGCUCGUUUCCUAUGAGAGUGAUAACUGAUCUGUAAUGGAUUCUAAAAAAGAAUAAGACUGGGAACAUUCACUCAUAAAAGCAACCUAAUAGGGGCUGGCAGAGACUUGUUGCUAUCUGAACUCCCAAUAUUGCGAGACAUUCUAAGAUAUGGCCAACUGUUAAAAGAACAAAGUAGUGAUAAUGCUAGAAACUACCCAGCAACCAGUCUAGCAAGAGACAUAUAUCCAAAAGUACUUGAAAAGUGGGAAAGAGUGAACAGUUCUUUUAUGACUCCUGUUGUAAAUUUACGAGAGACACUCUUGAAAAAGAUCCAAGAGAGCUGGGAUCAAGCCAAAAACAUCUCUUGGUAGAAGAAAGCUAGAUGUCAAAGAGAUUUUCACUGUGAAACUUGACAAACUGUUUGACAUCCUCAACAGCAAGUGUCAAAUUGUCCUGUGUGCCAAAUUUGGCUGCCCUGCUGACUGCAAAAAAGAAGCCCACAUUAACUGUCCCUGUCCUAAGGAGACAAAGAUACCAUUGAAGGAACUUGCUUUCAUUAAGGGUCAGAGAGACAAGAUUGGUCUUUUGGAUUGUACCAGAUUGAUUUGCCAGAUGUGCCCAAGCAGAAAUGACUAGGCAAAAGGCAAAAGUGGCAAGGCAAUGAGAGACAAAGGCUCACUAAAUAUAAGUAUUCCAGACAUUUCAAUACUGACAAAUGAAGUAAUUAUCUCUUACAAUGAAAAUGAAGGACAGACAAUAGAUGAUGAAGAUGAAGAGGAAUGUGAUGGAAGUUACGAAGAGGCCUUAGACCAAACACAUGUGCCCUCUACUUCAAAAGAAAAUACAGAAUACAAUAGAUUAGAAAUAACAAAAGUCACUAUUCAGAGCAGAGCAUAAAAUACAGUGUUGGUCUAUGUGCCACAGCCACCUUCAUAGAUGUUGGUUUGAUUACCAAAGAAGACAAGAGACUUGUAAUUGAUCACAAUUACAAUGUCCUGGAAAAAAUUAUGAAGUCACUAGAUCAAGAAUUUGAUAGACUCUGUAAGAAGGGCAAAAUAGAAUGCAUCAUCUUAGGCAGCCAUAUGGAUGCAAAUAAAGUUACGCUGAAAGCAAACACUUCAAACCAGGAAUUACCUAGUAUCAUCAAAGAACAUUAAUCUGUGUGCAGUGAGCCAGGUGGAAGAUACCUUUAUCAUUUCACUCCAGAGAAAGACUCAAAAACAGGAAAACCUGUUAAAGUGAUUGCAGAUAAUCUGGUAUAUUUCAUGAAGAAGAAAUUCAUUGACAAAAAUUGGAGGAGAGUCUACAAAUAUUAAUACUGGCUGUGAAGGUGGUGCCAUACACUGGCUGUUCCGGCAGGCCUGGGGCUGUUGAUUUAUCCAGCCUCAUCCUAAGCUAUAUGAAUGUUGUGCAAUUU